GACGAACGCUGGCGGCGUGCCUAAUACAUGCAAGUAGAACGCACAGUUUAUACCGUAGCUUGCUACACCAUAGACUGUGAGUUGCGAACGGGUGAGUAACGCGUAGGUAACCUGCCUGGUAGCGGGGGAUAACUCUUGAGCACGUUAGCUAAUACCGCAUAAUAUUCAUUAUUGCUUGAUAAUUAAUUCAAAGGUGCAAUUGCACCACUACCAGAUGUUCCUGCGUUGUAUUAGCUAGUAGGUGAGGUAACGGCUCACCUAGGCGACGAUACAUAGCCGACCUGAGAGGGUGAUCGGCCACACUGGGACUGAGACACGGCCCAGACUCCUACGGGAGGCAGCAGUAGGGAAUCUUCGGCAAUGGAGGAAAGUCUGACCGAGCAACGCCGCGUGAGUGAAGAAGGUUUUCGGAUCGUAAAGCUCUGUUGUAAGAGAAGAACGGGUGUGAGAGUGGAAAGUUCACACUGUGACGGUAGCUUACCAGAAAGGGACGGCUAACUACGUG
rnacentral:rRNA from 1 species